GGUCAUCCGUCAUCUUAAUAACACACAACUUGGAUAUUAUUUCACUCUUUGGGAUUUUGCAUCGGUAAAACUUCGUUACAUUUAUACCAGAAAUGCUGUCCACAAAAAUCUUUAGCAGUUUUAUAAUUGAAGAUCUAAAGUUUAUUUGUAGCUUAAUGCCAGACCAGCUCUGAUUGGAUUUGUAUCAUUCUCUUCCACUUACGAUGGACGCUUAAAAGAUUCUUAAGUCACAAAGAUUCACCAUGAUUAUCCAGCCAGUUAUUCAUCACAUGAUGCAGUUGUUGUUGGUGCUCGUGGAGCUGGAUUUUGUGCAGAUUUUGGUUGACUCGCAGGCAACAUAAAUCUUCAAUAGGUGUUGUUCGAUGUAAGUGGCAAUUUUCUUCUUCACUCCCCUGUGGUAAUUUUAAAACAUGUGAUCAGACUCUUCAUUUUCAGCUUGAUGAAAUGAAUCCUAUCAAGUUACGUUAUAGGGCACAGGAAUCCCUUUCUGGAAGUCCACAGCUUUCAAGGCACUCUUCCGAUUAAAAACAUUAUGGUCUGUUUAUUUACAUUUUGUCUUUCUUAAUUUCAUAGUUUGAAAAUCCUGGAGGAAUCUAGUGAUUCAAUAUCCCUUUCAUUUGGCGUCACUGGCAAAGCUGUUCUGCUUGUCAAGCCAUUUCGUCUUGAUGUCUAUGAUGAAGACCAACUAGUCAUCUCUGUGAAUGCAAAAAGCUUGCUGUACCAUCACCUGCACUAUUCGUCGAUGCUUCCGAAAUGAAUAAAUUUCAUGAUUGAAUCUAUCAGUUGUCAGUACGAGGAAAAAACAAAAAGGAGAAACUGUUAGAUCGUUUUCUACAACGACUGAGAGAUAUUGCUUGGGUCUACAAAAAAGGAGGUUGACGAGUUUUUCGACAAGGAAAAGAACUUUAUCCUAGAUUAUCAAUCACUGUUAAAAGAUGCAACCCUUAGGGCUGACAAGUUGACCGAAGCUCAUAAAGAUUUUCCAUCGGGAACAUUACUUUGAAAAUGUUUCAGGAACUUUCCACUCUUCACACACAAGCAGUAGCCUCCACAGAUAUCCAGUCCUUUGAAGACUCUAAAAUAAAGAGGGAAUUAAAAUUGUUUAAUGAAAUGUACGAGCAACUUUUUUCUCAUUAUCUCAUACUUCUCUAAUUCAGCUGACAUUUCUCUACUGGACCAGUCUCGAUAGUAGCUUACUGAACAAAUACCUAGUGACAUUCUGGAUAAUUCCUCCAAGUCUUGUUUGAUGGGACAGAUAUAAUUACUAUGCCAUUUUUUCAUCAUGCAACAGAAAAGCUGCUCGCAAGGCUUACUAAGAUUUUCUUUUCCUUUUUGUUUCCGUUGUAGAACUGGAAGCCCAUUUUUCCCUGGAAAUAUAACAACAAUUUCUUAACAAA
rnacentral:lncRNA from 1 species